GCACACGGCGGCAGCCAAGAAGCCGGCCAGACACAAACGCACUCCUCCGGCGCUUGCGAAUCGCGGCCACUCAGUCGUUCGUUCGGUCAGUCGCCUUAGCGAAGCGCAACGCAACACAACAGCCAGCCAGACGGCGGCAGCAGCAAUGCUCGCGGCUGUUGCAACGUCGGCCCCGUUUCCUGGAGAGACGCCAAGCUCUUUCGCUCUCCCUCUGGGCGAAAAAGCAGAACCGCGAACGCGCUUUCUCUGGAAACGUCAACGUUGUUUAGGAGGGGGCUGCGUUUAAAAGCGUUGUCGCGCCAACGAUGGAAACUGCGAACGUGGCCGGAACGGUAAGAACGAGAACGACAGUAAACGAAAACGAGGGCAGCGCAAUAACAAGAAACGACGACAACAACAACGAUCGGUAUUUUUACCUAACCUGCUAAUGCCGAUGACAGAAAUAACUAUUCGUCGGAUGAGCGAUGGUUCGCCGCUUUCUACGGUUGGCAGUGUAGUUAGCUGACUGUCAAUUUGGUUUUUCUUUGUACUAGUUUAGCGUAGGAUUUUCUUGUAAACGAGUCGCACUGCCUCGCGUCUUUUUUCUUUCGUGUAUUUCUUUCUGAUUCACUCUUUUCUCGCUCUAAGCGAACAGAACUGGGGACAACGAAGCUUGCACAGCGCCACGUUGAAUUCCAUGCGCUCCAGACGAUGACCAACGGAGAGCAGCAGCAGACGACGCGGAGGAGCCACCUGGCCCGAAACGAUCCCGAAAUGCCGUUCGCGACACGGUUGCCGUGGCAACCACAUUCGGAGCACGCUGCCCGCACGGUGUCAUGGUAACAGGGCCACAAGGGGAAAGGUGCGUAGAGCGCGAGGGCUUCGCUCUCGCAGCCUGAACUGUUGGUAAACACUGAACACGCCCUCCCCUUCAGGGCCAAUUUCACACUCGCCCAACGAAAGACGACCUAGUGCGGCUGUUUCCAAAUAUCAGAAGGGAAAAGUAGGAGUCGCCCGAGAACCCCUAUAUAUAGCUUCCUUUCGUUAACAAAUCGGUGAGAAAAGCAAAGCAGACGAUCGACGUUCGUAGUCUCCCCAAUCAUUCACAGAAGUUACCAGUCGACAAGAAACCGUUAUUUCCUUCAGCAACGAUAAAAGACUGACGUAGUCGCAGAGAAGCAUGCAUAGGACUGGAUAGUCGACUCGUGGUCUCUCAUAGAAAGCACGCACACACGAGGUUUCCACGCGCCCUUGCCGGACCGCGCGCGAAUCGAUACAGGCGUGACCUCGGUGCCUUUCGGAGCGACCCACAGAGGCCAGCAGCAGACGGAAAGGAACGCGGGCGAUGAAAAAGCGUGCUCCAAGAAGAAGGCAGCGUUUUUGCACAGCACUUUCUCGUUGCCUCAGGACGACACAGGCCCACUCCCGUCGAAGCAGCAGCAGGAGAGCCGUCCUUUCCUCCGCCGCGCAGACUCAACGAGCAGCACCGACCACACAGCUGACUGCAGCGACGUACGCAUUCCCGAGCAGCGAAACCAGCUGCUGCGCGCGCGAAGGCGGCGACCGCACCUUCUCCUCGGGCGAGAUGGCUCGGCGCUUUCGUAACCGUACGGUGCUGCGUGUGUGUACAAACGUAGACCCGUCGGCGGCGAAGGGAAGGCCGCCAGACACGCUCGAAACGGCAGUUCCGUACCGAGUUGCGAAACGCCGCAACGAGCUGUAUAUAAACACACACGGACGGAAGUAAUC
rnacentral:lncRNA from 1 species